ACAAUUUUAGCAUUUAUUGAAUAUAGUGGAAGAUGCCUAUCUAUAAGUUAAAACAUCAUUUUCUCUUGAGACUGUUUUAGACUGGUUUAAAAAACUGUGAAACGAUACUAAUAAUGAACAAAUUAAACUACACAAGAUCGUAGCAAACAAGACAACCGCACAUAAGACAGACGUACGAUUGAUCAGCUGAAACACCACAAAAACCCGAUUGCCAAUACAAUGUUGAAAGUUAUCUUAUCGAUAAAUGACAACAAUAUGCAAGACGCAGUAAAAAAAA
rnacentral:lncRNA from 1 species